GACGAACCGUGCGAACGUUAUUCGGAAUCACUGGGCUUAAAGCGCGUGUAGGCGGGACGGCACGUCGGACGUUGAAAUCCCCCGGCUCAACCGGGGUAGGGGCGCCGAUACGACCGUCCUGGAGGAACGUAGGGGGAGCUGGAACUUCCGGUGGAGCGGUGAAAUGCGUUGAGAUCGGAAGGAACGCCCGUGGCGAAAGCGAGCCCCUGGACGUCUACUGACGCUGAGACGCGAAAGCCAGGGGAGCGAACGGG
rnacentral:rRNA from 1 species